UGGCGAGGCGGGGCUGGGUGGGACAGCCGGGCGGGGCCUGGGCCUGACCAGCCGGCGGCCGGGCCGCCGAUUAAAUACAGCGGGAGCGGUGGAAAACGUGAUUGGAGAUGGCGCUGACGGCGGGGAGGCGGCGGCAGGACCUGGACAACGGUUCCUUGGAAGUAACACAGAGUUUGGAAGAUGAUACCCUACUGGAUGCACCACUUCUUUCAUCUCAUACAUUGCAUUCCCAGCUGAGGCCAAGAUUUCAUGCUAUCCCAGCAGUCCUCCUUGCCAAUUUUCUGUUGCUAAUACAUGUUGCUUUUGUUGUUCUGGCAUUUUUAGCAGCCAUGUUCUGUUCUUACCCCAAUCCAAAUCAGGAUAAGUGCCCUGGAAACUAUACUCACCCACUUAAAGUGCAAACUGUCAUAAUCACUGCAAAAGUAAUUCUGUGGACUUUACAUGUUGUUUUUGAACGAUAUAUCCAGCACCACCACAGUAAAGUCAGAAGCAGAGGUUACUUUUCAAUAUACCGAUCAACAAGGCAUCUAAAAAGGCUUCCACUGCUGAUACACUCCACAGGUAAUGCAGCCCUGCUUUUGAUUCUAUCAAUGCAGCAUUCCUUUCCUGAUCACAGUAAGGUGUAUCUAUAUCUUAUCCUGGGAGUCCUGGGCCUGGAGCUGAUUAGUUCCCUGACAUGCUUAGUGAUUUACACAGGGUCUUGUUCCCUGGCUUGUACUGUGCUGGUUCCUGUGCCCAUCAGAUCCAUUAACCAGCUUAUACUAGGAAGUUGUGGAGAGCAAAUUUUUGCUUCCCAGUUGAAGGAGGCUUGAAGGGUCCAGUGAGACCUGGAACCGAAGUGAAGGAGGGGCAGAGCUGCAUUGCGAGGAAGGAGUAAGGUGGCCUCUUCUGGCAACAGCUACCUUAUUUUCAGAGCAGCCCCAAAACAACACUCACAGAGUAUGUGACUGGAAGCAUUGAAGUUUCUUCAGUAGGAUAAUUUUAAGGGCAGUCCUCUGUUCAGGGUUAGAAUGCCCCUCUCCAUGGCAAGCACUUACCAGAUACCACUCACUGAUAAGGUAGUAUCAGCUAACGUAGGUGAGCAACAAUGAGGAGAUCACGGUCACUUUACGCUAGCAACUCAUGAUCAACCUCUUCCUUGCAUUAAUAUGUUACUCCUAAAUUUUGGAGGGAAAGUAGCACCAGUUCAUAAAUUGUUUCUCUGUGGUAGAAUAAUUAUUUUGUAAGCAUUUUUGCCUCAUUCUAGUAGUUACCUGUAGAAAAUUAAUGUACCUGACUUAUUUAAAUAUUGCUACUUCACAAAUAAAAGUGGUGGCAUGGAAUAAGUGAUUGUAAUUCUAUGUAUUUCUUCUUGCUUGGAGCUGUUUUAUGAAUUGUAUGAUGCCUGAUGUUCUGUGAAGUACUACUGCCUCCUUAAAACUCUCUCCAUUCAGCAGUGUAUGUAUAUGUAGCUGUAGCAUGCAGAGGCAGGGAUUCAGAAAUCUGCAAGGAGUUGCUGUGAUUGACUUACAACAGGCUUGACAUAUAUAAAUUGUUAAAGUGAGGUAAAUGUGCAUGGAAUGAAGUAUGAUACAGAUAGCUCUAAAUGUCAGCUUACUAUUGUAAGGUUGUUAUUGAUAGUCAAGCUUUAAAAGGUUUACUAAAUAUAUGUAUUUAAUGACUUUCUUACAUACUUCUAGUAUCACUUGAGUAAAAGACUAACAUUCCCACAAACAACACAUGUUGGGAAUUCCACACCCAUUCCUUUGUGGCUUUAUUUGUAGAGGAAUACAGUCAUAGAAAUAACUAACCUUUGAGCCUAACUUGUAGUUAACCUCUGGAGGGUCUUAGCAUUGUUUUAGCAGGGUGGCCUGUAAGAUACCCCAUCAUAUCAUUGACUUGUAAGGACAGUAUUUCUCUGCAGUAGCUUGGAUUUCUCAUGGAGCCAGACUGUAAUGUUUUUAGUAGCAUUAGAUUUAUUGCUUCACAGGCAGCCUUAACUGCAGUCCUAAAUGUGUACUCCAGAUCUCUUGGUACUUUGCUUUAAUCGGGGUCUGAUACUGAAUAGCUUUGAGUAUUUUCAGCUUCCUUCCAUAAAUAAUGCAGAGUGUGCCUACAGCUUUUCCUACCCCCACCCAUCCCCGUUCCAUAUCUGUUUCAAUUUAAUCUUAAACUUUAUUCACAGGUGCCCAGGAAUGAUUUCUGGUUUUGAUAGCCAGCACUGCAAGGCUCAGAAUCUGAAGCUGAUCAGAGCUGCUCUGGUUUGAAUACUUAAUAGCUUUCUGUAGCAAGUCUGCCCUAGUUUUACAGCAGGCAAACAAGCUGCUGCUUCACUGCAGGUAGCCUAGCUAAAAUAGUAUUUAUCAAAGAACUUAUGUUAGAAGUUCUGACCUAGAUACAAGUAUCAUAACUUCUACAACUUUUUUUUUAUGGUGUGUAGCUUAAUUUAUGGCCUGAAUUUGGAGACAGAAUCUCAGUACCCUCUCAAAGACAACUAAGGUUUCAGCCUCUCUUAGGUGACAAAAUAAACUUUGCAGAUGUUAAGCAGUAUGUCCAGGCUUUGCCAUUUGGGUCUUCAGUUCUCUGUGGUCUUCCAAGCAGUAGGGCUGAGGGGAAAAACAAACUGAAAGCCCACCAAACCACCACUAACAUAUAAUCAAAGCCGUUACAGACAUGAGCGGAGAGUCUGCUUUUUCUUUCCUUCCUCCCCACUCCCCAGAUUACCUUAUUAUCUUUUCAACUCCUAUCCUAAGGCAGUCUUAACAAAAUCUGUAAUACAUAAUUGUUUUUAACUUAGAGCCUGAUCACAAAGGUUUUCUUUUGUGGGUUGCUUUCCAACUUUUAUUAAUAAAACUUUGUUGCAGUGAAAAUAAGCAACUUCAAUCGUGCGAAGCCAAGACCUGACAUAAUUGAAGAAGAAAAGAUGUAUGCCUACCCUAGUCACAUUACCUCAGAAAUUGGAUUCAGGGAAAAUUCAACUUUAGAAGAGAUAGUGGAGAAGCAAGGAGAUGUAAUAGAAUAUCUUCAGCGACACAAUGCACUGCUCAGCAAGAGACUAUUGGCACUAACAUCUCAGCAGAUCAAAACUUAACAGCAUUUGGAAAACAACUGCUGGAGCUCUGGUAGGACCAUGAGGUAAUCUAAUAUCCAGACUGAUUUGUACAGAUGACUCUUCUUCAAUCAUCUUUCACACUUUGAAAUAGAAGUUAAGAUGGAAGGAUGAGCUCUGCAUACACUCUAAACCUGUUACAACUGGACACUCUGCCUCUCAGUUCUGGAGCUUCAAGGAUUUUUAAUUCCUAAUAGGUUAAAGUUGGACCUGAGGUAAUGGUUCAACUUUGUUCAGUUGUUGCCAUCAUUUUGUACUGCUGUAAUCUUUAAGCUUCAAACUACCAAAGUAUUUUAUAUUUCUAGAACACACAUUUGUUCUCUAAAAAAAUCUGACUUCACAAAGGAUGUAUUUUGAGUUUCUAGUGCUGACGCUGAGACUAGAUGUAUUCUGUCAGAGUCCCAUUACUUCUCAUGUUAGAGGUGGUGUAUUUCAAUAAUCCUAUACAACAUAGAUACCUGCUUUCUAGAUCAGUCUCCUUUUGUACUUUGUCAAGAAAAGGAAUUAAACUGCUGCCUGUGCCAGUGGGAAAAUUUAGCAUCUAAUUUAGGAUUAAAAAAAAAGCAGUGGGUGUCCUAGAAUGGCAAAUCUCACAUAUGUGUGUGCUACAAGACAAUGUCAUUAUAAGCAAUUUGAGCAGUUUUUCAGAAUUCUGGUUUAAAAACCUGUAAGAAGGAUAUCUAGGGCUGAUGACUUUCUCAUUACUGGAAGUCUGGCUGGUAAUCCAAGAUUUCUACUCUGCCAACUGAACUAACUGAAUGGGUUUAAAGAUGCAUCAGUUACAUACAUCCUUGCUCUUUACUUUGACCCUUAAAAUGUCAGCAUCUGGAUUCAAAAGCUAAAACGGUGUAUGUGGGGAGGUGAAAAGCAGCAGAAGACAGAAAGGUCUUCUAAAAGUUGGAGAAACAAUAGUUCUAGGUUCUGUCUCAUGGGUUUAUUGGGAAGGCUGGUUCCAUUCUGUUCCAGGUACUACUUUUGUCUACCGGUGUAGACCAAGAAUUAUUUUAGAAGCCAAUACCUCUGGGGAGAUGGGUGAUCACUAGUCAAAACUGAGAGGAAGGCUCUCAUCAGGAGUAGUCUUGUGGUUCAAUAUAAGAAAAAUUUAAAAAAAAAAAAUCCACCUUACUGGCUUACUUUGGUACUAGGGCACAACUUCAGAAAUAACUAAACUGUUCAGUGUGCAACAAACACAGGAAGGAAAAUAAACAUUGGAGGCUUUGCUGCUAUCAACACUAGACUGUUCUCAUUAACUGUUUGUGGAAAAUGCAUCCAAGGUUUUAUAGUAUAAAUGUAAUGAAUACCAAUGUUUUUGGUUUUAGAACUCAGGUUUUGAUGUGAUUGUGUAUAUCAAUUUAUAUAAUUUCUAUGAAAAGCAGUAAAAUGUGACUGUGAAGUUCAUGCACAAUAAAUGCAACUGAGGACAA